rnacentral:tRNA from 1 species
AUUUAGAUAGCUUAACCAAAGCAUCGGUCUUGUAAGCCGAAGAUUGAGAAAUAACCCUCUCUCUAAGUA